rnacentral:lncRNA from 1 species
GCAAUUUACCGUUGCCGUUUUAGCUCGACCCAAGCCUAACAAACCAAAUUCCGCAAAUCUCUCAAUCGGACGCUGUAACCUCGUCGUAAUCCAAAACGAAGUUGUCCUCCGCGUCGAAUUAUCCUUCAAUUAAGGUUUUACAAGAUCAAUUUGAUUCAAAACCUCUUAGAGACAAAAGCCUCAAUUCUAACCCUAGAUUCAUGAAUCCUCAAGAACACCAAAAUCCAUAAUAAACCUUUAACCAAUCU